ensembl:lincRNA Gm42743 predicted gene 42743
CCUUACGUUGCAUCUUUAAACGCGGAGGAAAAUGCCGGAUCCAGCGAAGUCUGCUCCUGCCCCAAAGAAGGGCUCUAAGAAAGCUGUCACGAAAGUGCAGAAGAAAGAUGGCAAGAAGCGCAAGCGCAGCCGCAAGGAGAGCUAUUCUGUCUACGUGUACAAGGUCCUGAAGCAAGUGCACCCCGACACGGGCAUCUCAUCUAAGGCUAUGGGAAUCAUGAAUUCCUUCGUGAACGAUAUCUUCGAGCGCAUCGCAGGAAUGAAGACUCCCCACGACCACAGCACUCCUAUCCCAAAAGGCAUGUGGACACACGCUCCUCGUCACCAGCUGCAUCAGACCCCUUCGGGAUGCCUCGUUCUCAGCUCUGGAAACUUUGCACUAAGGAUAUACUGAGCUACCUGCCUGCCCGCUCGCUGGCUCGGCUGACCCACCCUAACUAGCUCCGACAAUGCGGGAACCUGCGCGGAGGCCGUGUGUGCUGGACAGAGGCCGUGUGUGCUGGACACAAAGGAGGCAGAGGUAGCAGUCUCCUCCUGCUUGCUCUUUGGCGUCUACCCACCAGAGCCUCGGGUUAGGCGGGACUUUGAAUCUUCUCCCCGGCAGCAGCGGCAGCAGCUGCGAGCCCCAAAGGCGACCACCAGGAGUCGCUAUGUGGGUCCUCGACCGCGCUGAUCAGACUGGCGGGCUGGGGUGAGUAGUUCUGCAGCUGCGCAUUCGCGGAGACUGCCAGCCUCUCGUGAUGCUGCGCUCGCGCAGAUGCAAAGUGAACCAUCAUUACCAAGAGCUGAGUCUGCUUUGGAAUGGGGCCCUUCCCUAUACCGGAGGGAAUCGGACACGCACCACCCUUUUCCACACGCUGCCGCAGACUCAGUAGAGAUCAUUCACUCUUGUCUGCUAGGUGAAAGCAAUUAAUCGUAAGGUUUGAGGGAGAUUGAAAAAGUACGCCGAGGAGCGUUUCGGGUCACGGGGGUCUCCGAGCUUUGGCAACGAUGACCCAGCCGCACACUGCCUGCAUUGUAUACAGAUGACCACGAGAUGGCGCCAGCGAGUCACUUCGCCCCAAAGUCCUAUUUUCUCUUCUUUUACUAUGUAUCUAGGUAGGGGGCCUUGAUUGGAGUUUGUUUUCUCUGCCAGUUAAAGAAUAAACGGCAGGGGGAAAAAUGUUGUGGAGCAGGUAGCAAAGGGAUAAAUCUCAGACACAGCAGACAGAAUCAACCCGUGAAGAAAGAUUAUCAGGCUGAGAAAACACACGCACACAGAGUACGGCACACAGAAAGAUUGGGCGUGAUCUCAGGAAGUUGGCCUUUUCUGGAGGGGUGGGGGGCUUGAGGAUCUUUUAGGGGAUCUUCUCCUAGUCUACGAGUUGUCAGUUUGAAUAAAGACAGAGAAACUGAUAGGCCCACAUUUCUGGAUAAACAUGUACUAGCCUGGCCCUGAACUUGGACUGCGCUGCCUGCCCAUGCUGGCAAGAGAAAAAGUCCACCCGGUUUUUGCCUCAGGUCAGGAGCAU